rnacentral:rRNA from 1 species
AUUCCAGCUCCAAUAGCGUAUAUUAAAGUUGUUGCAGUUAAAACGCUCGUAGUCGGAUUUCGGGGCGGGCCGACCGGUCUGCCGAUGGGUAUGCACUGGCCGGCGCGUCCUUCCACCCGGAGACCGCGCCUACUCUUAACUGAGCGGGCGCGGGAGACGGGUCUUUUACUUUGAAAAAAUCAGAGUGUUUCAAGCAGGCAGUCGCUCUUGCAUGGAUUAGCAUGGGAUAAUGAAAUAGGACUCUGGUGCUAUUUUGUUGGUUUCGAACACCGGAGUAAUGAUUAACAGGGACAGUUGGGGGUAUUUGUAUUCCGUUGUCAGAGGUGAAAUUCUUGGAUUUACGGAAGACAAACUACUGCGAAAGCAUUUACCAAGGAUGUUUUCAUCA